rnacentral:rRNA from 1 species
UACGGAGGGUGCAAGCGUUAUCCGGAUUCACUGGGUUUAAAGGGUGCGUAGGUGGGCUAGUAAGUCCGUGGUGAAAUCUCCAAGCUUAACUUGGAAACUGCCGUGGAUACUAUUAGUCUUGAAUGUUGUGGAGGUAAGCGGAAUAUGUCAUGUAGCGGUGAAAUGCUUAGAUAUGACAUAGAACACCGAUAGCGAAGGCAGCUUGCUACACAAUUAUUGACACUGAGGCACGAAAGCGUGGGGAAUCAAACAGGAGUUAGAAAACCCUUGGUUAAGUACCCCAGUCAAA